GUUAAGCGACUAAGCGUACACGGUGGAUGCCCUGGCAGUCAGAGGCGAUGAAGGGCGUGCUAAUCUGCGAUAAGCGCCGGUAAGGUGAUAUGAACCGUUAUAACCGGCGAUACCCGAAUGGGGAAACCCAGUGUGAUUCGUCACACUAUCAUUAACUGAAUCCAUAGGUUAAUGAGGCGAACCGGGGGAACUGAAACAUCUAAGUACCCCGAGGAAAAGAAAUCAACCGAGAUUCCCCCAGUAGCGGCGAGCGAACGGGGAGGAGCCCAGAGCCUGAAUCAGCAUGUGUGUUAGUGGAAGCGUCUGGAAAGGCGCGCGAUACAGGGUGACAGCCCCGUACACAAAAGCGCAUGUGCUGUGAGCUCGAUGAGUAGGGCGGGACACGUGGUAUCCUGUCUGAAUAUGGGGGGACCAUCCUCCAAGGCUAAAUACUCCUGACUGACCGAUAGUGAACCAGUACCGUGAGGGAAAGGCGAAAAGAACCCCGGCGAGGGGAGUGAAAAAGAACCUGAAACCGUGUACGUACAAGCAGUGGGAGCACCCUUCGGGGUGUGACUGCGUACCUUUUGUAUAAUGGGUCAGCGACUUAUAUUCUGUAGCAAGGUUAACCGUAUAGGGGAGCCGCAGGGAAACCGAGUCUUAACCGGGCGUUAAGUUGCAGGGUAUAGACCCGAAACCCGGUGAUCUAGCCAUGGGCAGGUUGAAGGUUGGGUAACACUAACUGGAGGACCGAACCGACUAAUGUUGAAAAAUUAGCGGAUGACCUGUGGCUGGGGGUGAAAGGCCAAUCAAACCGGGAGAUAGCUGGUUCUCCCCGAAAGCUAUUUAGGUAGCGCCUCGUGAA
rnacentral:rRNA from 1 species